UGGUGGUGGUGGUGGUGGAGGUGGAGGUGGAGGUGGAGGUGGAGGAGGUGGAGGAGGUGGAGGUGGAGGUGAUGGCAGCUUGAUCUCAAUGCACUUGACAGCUUCACCUCCUUUGCAGUAUAUUUUUUUCUUAAUCUUUUCAGGACAGCAACACACCACAGAGAUUGUCACUGUAUUUGCCUUCUUGUCAUAUAUCUGGUUCUGGAUUUCUCUUGUUCGUUAAUUAACAUCAUCAAAUCCACAAAACUUAGUCACUUCCUUUGGUAAUAAAAACAACUCAAACCUAGCACUGUUUUUAAAGAGAGAAAAAAAAGACUCACGAGGGAUACCACACAGUACUUUCUUGAUUUUCUUGUGGCAUUUUUCGCAUCCAAGGUCAACCACCUUAAUCACCAUCGUUGUGACUUUCUGUAACAGUACUAGUUAGUGCAUGCAAUUCAAAUAGGACCUCACCAUGAUUAAUCCCAAUAGAAAAACAAAGAAAAUCUCACGAUAAAUUUAUAGACAGAAAGAUUGGAAGAACUCAAAACAUGUUCUGACAUGGAAGAAUCCGCUGUAGAGAUUAUAUAUCAAGAACUUGUACAUAUAUAGGACAUCCACGUAAAAAGAAGAAAAAGGCCACAGAGAUGCAUUAAAAGAUAAAUCAACACACACAAAUAUAUAUCAUACCGUUUCUACCAUGGUUUUGUGUAUGCGUGGAUCCGAUGAGACGAUGGAAAUAUGGAGAGUGUAUAUAUAGAGAGAGGUGGGGGGGGGGGGCGGCCUAAUUUAAUUAAGAUAAAUUAAAUUAAAUGUGAGGCCUUAAUUUAGUUGUCCUUGCAUUUUGAGACCAAUAAGAUGAGGAAAUAUGGACUUGGGAGAGUGGAAACUUGAUGCAACCAUCAUGAACAUCGUCGCUGCUGACCCCACAAUCUUUCAUCAGCAAGAGAUGGUUUUGAUGUGCACAGCUCACCUUCUAUUUUGUUAAUCAAUUCUAAGGUUAAGCAAGGAUAGCCGCCGGGGUUAAAGAAAUUGAUAGUGGCAUUUAUAUAUAUAAAAAAAUUACUAAUUUGGUGAUGUUCAAUUGUGCUCCAUGCACGCCCACACCCAGCACAUGGCAUCCGUAGGUAGUUGUUUUUUUUACAUAAAAAAUAUUAAUAUUCAAGAGUGUUAGGUGUAUUUAUAAAACUAGAUUUAAAAGUCUUGGAUCUACUGCAAUGCCUGAUUAAAAAAUAAUAUUUAUAAUAUUAAUUAUAAUACAAAUAGUAAUAUUUUAAUAUAAAUAAUAAUAUUUUUAAUAUUAAUAAUAAUAUUAAACUUGUUUAGUCCAAGUUCUUACAGUUUUUUAUCCCUUAAAAUUAAAUUUAUGGUCUUUUUUCAAUAGUAAAAAUAUUUUAAAAAAAAUUAUUAAUAAUCAUAAUGAUAACAAUAAUAAUAACAAUAAGAAUAAUAAGAAUACUACUAAUGAUUAUAAACUUGAGUUUGGUGCCACAACUAGACCUAUGUUUCUGGCUCUGGUUCCUCUUAUAAUAAUAAUAAUAAUAAUAAUAAUAAUAAUAAUAAUAAUAAUAAUAAAAUUAUUUGACCCAAGUUCUUAAAGUUUUUAAUUUCUUCAAAUUAAAUUUAUGAUUUUUUUAAUAGUAAUAAUUUUUUUCAAAUUUAAUAAUAAUAAAAAUAAUAACAACAUUAAGAAUAAGAAUAACACUAAUAAUCAUAAUAAUAAGAAGAAUAACAACGAUGACAACAACAACAACAACAACAAUAAUCUUUAAUUUUAAUCUUCAAAUCAAAUCUAUGGUUUUUUUCAAUAGUAAUAAUAUUUUUAAAAAAAUUUAUUAAUAAUUAUAUUAAUAAUAAUGACAAUAAUAAUAUUUAUAAUAUUAAUAAUAAUAUUAAACAUGUCUAACCCAAACUCUUAUAGUUUUUAAGUUUAUCCUUCAAAUCAAAUCAAAUAAUAAUAAGAAAGUUCGUCAAACAAAAAGAACAUUGAUCGAGUUUGCAGUCCUUGACAGAGAUGACAUUGACACUUCUUGCUCAUGCUUGAAAAAUUGACCACCUGGGAGUAAUACAGUUGACCCUGAAAAGAAAAACAAACAAUAUUUAGAUCAACUUGAGGCAAAGAAAGAAUCAAAUGAUGAGUUAGCAAAGUACAUCAAAAUUAUGUUUAGUAUCUAACAAUGAAAAAAGCCUCUUGAUUAUAGACAGAAGAACAAGCAUACUCAAAUCAAUUAGGGGCAAUGAUGUUCAAGAACAAUCUAUGAUCUAGUAAAUUCUAGCAACAAUUAAGAGCAAUGUUGCAUUUGAAGAACAUCUUCAUAUCUUCAUCUUGGAUUUACCCUUUGAAACAUGGCUAUGACUCCUAAAAGAUGUUACCACAUGGUUGCUUUUGAAUGAAUAUCAGAAGGAUGAACACUAUCAAUAUUGAUUGUGGGACAAUGCUGCAUUUAAAAGACAUUUUCAUAUUGUCAUCUUGGGUUUCCCUUUAAAACAUGACUAUAACUCCUAACAAAUGUUAUCAUAUAGUGGCAUUUGAAUGAAUAUCGAAAUGAUGCACACCACCAAGACUAAUUAUGGGACCAUCUAUUUUGAAGCCCAAGGUGCACUUCAUUGUAUAAAUAUAGGUAACAAAUUGAACAUAAUUAAUGAUGCCAAUACAUUUCUUUUCAUAAUCUGAUUUGACAAGCUGAGAGGAAUUCAUUGAUAAAAACACUGAAUAUACAACAAAGAGCCUUUUACUGCAAGAUAUGAGAAGCAUGUUUAGACGACUGAAUAGUUUCCAAGAAGGUUGAUGAUAACGUAUCCGUGAAGAGUAUUGUUUCAACUAAAGGCAAGUCCGUUGUUGAUUAGCAAUCUAAGAUGAGGUCGACACUAGAAAACUUCUUGAUGGGUGUUGGUAGGAUGCACACAACUAAUUAGAGAACAAUUCUCAAGAGAAUCCAGGAGAUGAAUGACUUGUUGAGCUUUUUCAUGAUGAAUUAAGCAACACCACACUUGAAGGCAUUGUUAAGCUUGAUAAACAACGAAAAUAGUAAUCGUUGUAGACAGCCCCGAAUGGGCACUACAUGCACAUUUGAAUGGAAGACUAGUAUGCGAAUGAACUAGUUAGUUAGAAGAACAAAAAAAGCUUUAGGUAACAAACAAAGACACCCUAUGACAAUGGAACAUUAAAGAGGGGGGGACCUAUAUUUCAAACCAAGUAAAAAGACAUGCAUGCCAUCUAACCUCAAAGCAUCGCACAUAUAUUUUGAAUUGUUACAGGAAAAAUCCUUAGUGAAAUCCAGUAAGAAUGUGGACAAAUAAAGAAUCAUUGAGUUAAUAAUAACAAAGAAUUACAGUUUUGAACCUCGAAUGAGAAGAAAAUGAGGCGAACCCUACCAUUAGGAAAAUCUCAAAGAAACGAGAAGAUCAACCCUGCCAGUGGUGAUCCUUACAAAGUGAGAGGAACCCUACUAUUAUGAAAUUCCCAAAGUAAAAACAAGUUUGAACCCUGCCAUCAGGAAGAACACACAUAUUUUUUGUUCUGAUUAAAGGAGAUUGCCAAAAGAGAUCUUAGGUUAACCCAACCACACAUAGUUCUUUUAGUUUUGGUUAAAGGAGGUCACCAGAUGGGAUCUCAUGUUAACUCAACCAUACAUUUCUCUUAGUUCUGGUUAAAGGUGCGACAGUCACCACAACUCAUAAAAUAAGAUGAAUUGCCUACCCAAGGAGCUCUCCACGUAAAAUUACUAUGAUAAAGUGCUUGGUAUUUUUUUCACUUAUGCUUUCUUAUCUAGGUCGUUUCAUUUUUUGUUUAAAAUCAGUCCAAUAUUAAACAACCAAAAAUUAUUGAAAACUUCUCUUGAUGUUUUCAAGUGAUUGACUAUCCACAUAAAUAGUAAAGGAACACAACACAAUAUCGCUCUCUUUCUAUGUAGUCUACGAUGGGUUAGGGAUAAGAGAGUUUUAGCCAAAAUAGUUGAGAUAAGGUUAUUCUUUGUCUAUUUAUACUCAACAAAGACGUUGACAACUUUAAUAUUGAUGAUCCCAAUGGCUUCUAAAGGGAAAAAAAAAAACUAAUUGGAAGAUAGCGAAAGCAACUACUUAGUAUUUCUCUUCUCUUGACUUUUCAUUGUUUUUAUCUGUCUUCAGCUUAUUCUCAAUCAACUUCCACUCAUGUUACUUCUAGAAUAUGGAAUUAAUAUUAUCAUCAACAAAUGAUUUGGUUUUCGCAAUGUUGCGGGACAUGUUAAUGUUUUUUAAAGGUAAAAAAAUGAUGAUACUCUUUUUAGAAGAUUAAUGAAAAUUUAGAAUUUGGUUCAAUAAACUUGAUUAAUUUAAUAAUAUAAUUAUAAAAAACAACAAUGAAUAAUAAAAUAAAAUAAAUUCUUGUCAAUAUCAUGAAAAGAUACCCUUUAAUUAUUCUUGUAAGGUCUCAACAAUUUUAUUUGAUAACAAAGAAAAAAUUGUUUGAGAAAGGGUAAUUUCAUAAAGACAAAAAUAAUAAUAAAAACACAUUCAAAGCUCAAUCACUAGAAAAUCAAAUUGAAGGAUUAUUGAAAAAAAAGAAAUUAAAAAAUAAUAUUUAAAUCUUUUGGGUCUGGCAUGACCUUCAUACUCAAGGCUCUUAGAUCUUACAUGACUGUCUGAUACAAUUUACUUGAGUCUGAUAUAAUUAUCAGAUGCAAGAAGCUUAAAAUAUUAUCUAUACUCGUAAUAUUUUUUUACAUUUAAAAGAAAAUAAUAUUGACCUGUUGUGCAUUACAGAAAAUGUACUAUUAUGUGAUUGUGUGUGUGUGUGUGUGUAACAAAUGAUUUUAGGGGUGUGAUUGGCAGGGAAAAAAAAGAGUCCAAAUGAUUGGUGUUAUGAAUUGGUUGUGGCCUGCCAAUACUACCAGGUCCACUUGAUUAAUAAAAGAAAAGGUCAUCAAAGUCAGCAAUUUACACUUGGGUUAUUUUUUAAAAUUCACUUUUUAAAAAAAUAAAAAUCAAACAAUAAAAUAAAGGCUGGCAACGUGAAGAAAGUAGGUCGGGAAGAAUUUCAAAAAAAUACAGAAAAAAUCAAGUUGUGAUUUAGAAAGAAAUUCAAGACCUAAUUGUACCCCAUUUGUGCCUAAAAAUAGAGAAAAAAAUAUAAAUUAAAUGUCAAAUUAAAUGAUUAUUAGAUGAAUUUGCAUAAUAAUUAAGUCCAAUGACAUAAUUAAAUUUUUAAUAGGCCAAUUUGAUUUUAUUAUGGGCCAAAUUAAAUUUUAAUUAUGUUUAAGAAUUAAUUUGGGUCCAAUUGAAGGAUUUAAUUAAGUGCAGAGACUUAAUUAUACUUUAAAUGAGUCAAAUUAAUUUAUUAUAGGCUUAAUUAGUGAAAAAUUAAGUUUGGGAGUUCAAUUUGGGUUUAAUUAAGAAUAUUAAAAUUUUCAAAAAUCAAAUUUAAUUUAAUUUUGAUUUCUCAAUUAGGAUUAUGAUAUGGAACAAUUAUCACAAGAUUUGAUGGAUCUAAUUGGAAAACAGAAACUAUCUAAGAAAAUAUCUAAAUGAACAGUCUAACUUAAAACAAUAAUAAUAGAAGAUCCGAAUGUUACUUCUUGCUCAAAUUUUUCUAAGAGGCUCUCAAGAUUGUCUUCUUAUGGGAAGAUAAUUUCUUAUUUAUUGAACCGUUGACUUUCCAAAAUUAAACCUAAAAGUUGUUGGGUGUUUCAUUUUUUAUUAGAGAAUAUUAUUCAAAUCUAACUAGAUUUCUCUAUGGUUGUGUUCGUAACCUUAAAAUUUAAAAACCCUAAUUUUAUCUUCAUUGUUAGAAUUUCUUGAUAGAAAAUGUUGAUUUUUCAAUAAAAUGAUGUGCGAGGGAAAAAUCUUAGGCGACAGAGUUGAUGGAAAAUUUGUACUGGGAAAAAAUCAAGACUGCCUAAAUAGUUGGGGGCAUUUUUUAGGUUUGCCCCCCUUUUUUUUUUUUUCAUUUGGAGCCCAAAAUUUCAAAUGCUAUUAAGUAAUACUCUAAUAAAAGGUUUGAACUGUUUAUCAAGAAAUAAAUCAUUGUGGAUUGUAAUUAUUUUUUAAUUUUUUUACUGUACUCUCAUAAGUUCAAAUUAAUGACCAAUUAAAACAUUUUUAUUAAGGAAGAGAAAAAUUCAAAAAUAAAGGAUUAAAAUGAAACAUACAACAAAAAAUAUUUUUGCUAAAACUAGAAGAACUAAACGUAUACUUUAAUCUUCCAACUUUUUAGAUUAUAAAUUUUUAGUCACUAACAAUUUAUGAAAUUUAAUUUUGAUCCCAAAUUUUAUUUUUUUUAAUUUUUGAAUUCCUGUUUUGAGAGAGAAGAAGAAAAGUGGUUGGAUUCUGAUUGUAAAAAGAAAAAGUCUUAAUUGAGAUUGAUUUCAGCCAUAAAAACAUGUGAUUUUAGUUUCAAUAAUUUACUUUUGACAAGUAAAGUUUAGACAAAGUAUUAUUUUUACUUUAAACUUGCCUAGAAUUUUAGAUUUGAACUCGAAAAGAAUUAUGAUUUCGGAUUCAUUAUGAAUUUUGGAGAUAAUUUUUGAGUUAUUAAAGGCUAUAAAUAUGUUUUACAAAGUAUUUAGAGUGUUUUCAUGGUUUUUCAGGUUGAAAUAUUGUUAAAAAUAGUUUUUUUUUUUUUUGAUAAAGAUUAGCUUGAUUUUCAGGUCAUAAAAGUCUAGUUUCCUUCAGCUGGGUAGAGAUUAAGCUUAAUAAUUUCUUUUUUGUUGAAUAAAUAGUUAUCAAUUUAUUUAAUUAAAUGUAUGCAUGAAUUUUUUAAAUUUCAUUUAAGAUUUUUUUUUAUGUACAAAAACAUAUCGUAAAAAUCUGAAUACAUAUUUUUCUAAAAAACUUUAUUCCACCUGUGAGAAAACAUGUCAAUGUAAAAAAAAAAAAAAAAACUAGUAAAAACCUACUUUCUAGUUAGACUAUGUUUGUUUUCUAGAAUUCAGUUUCCGGAAAAAUAUGUCCUCAUUAUUUUGAUUGUUACUUUUUUUAAAAAAAAUAAUUUAUGAAAUGUUAAUUAUUAUUAUUUUAAUUUCUUCAUCUUUCAUUUUUUAUAUUUUUUAGAUUUGAUCUCUAUUAUUUUGAUUAUUAUUUAUUUUAUUUGAAAUAAUUUAUGAAAUUAUAUUUUUUUUCAAUUUCAUUCUCAUUUAACUUUUUAAUUUAUAAGAUUUGUUCCUCAUUUUUUUAAUAAACUUGAGAAAAAUAAAACAUUAAUAAGUUAUUUUCCACUCAUUUUCCAUGACAUAACCAAACACUGGAAAGUGUUUUCCAACUUAUUUUCUAUUACACUACCAAACAUCAGAAAAUAAUUCACUUUCCUGAAAUUCACUUUCUCAUAAUUCACUUUUCAAAAAAAAACUACUUUCCAGCAAACAAGCAGAACUUAAUUUAUUAUUUUUCAUGUUUAAUGCCACCUAUGUGCUUUCUUCUUUAUUUUAUUUUUUUCUUUAAUCAGCUGAUAUCUGACCUUAAGCAACCAACGAAAGAACUAUCUACAGAAAAAUAAAUCUUUGUUACUCUUUUGACGUAAGCAACCAUGGCAAUUAGUUCAUUGUAAGCAAAUGCUCGAGUCUCGUUGAUUUGACGAGGCAGUCACUUAGCACUGCCGACACUGCAGACAGCAAACAAGCUAUGUUCUGUCGGAUCACACAUGCAUAUGGAAUGGAUUUUGAUCCAAUCUUAAAUAACUUUAAAUUUCAAUCCCAAAAAUGCAAGGUACAUGCUAUUCCCUCACCGAAUAAUUGCCUCAAUUAUGCAGACUAUCUAAAGAGAUGCUCAUGAAUCAUCGCACAACCAGUCAAAGCAACAUGAUUUAGGUUUUUAGAAUCUGAUCAGCUAUAUGACGAUUCAAUGGCUAAAUAUAAUGCUUUCUCUUAACGUGUAAAUUCAGAGAAAGAAAAGAUUUGCCAACUCAAAAUUAUUUUACAUUGAAUCUGUCGCAGCAGCUAUAUACAAAAAUAUUUUCCUAUAUUGUGCUAAGGUAUUUUUGGAAUAAGAGUUACAAUAGGAAUAGAUGUCCUUGACAGCAUAUGUUUCCUAAUACAUUACGUAAACGUGAAAUAUUGUUGAUCCUUUCUUAACAUAACGGCACAAAACUCCCUAUCAAGAGAGAAAAUAUCAGCAGAAAAGGAAAAGAUUAUGGCGGGCACGUACCAUUUAUGGACAUAAAAAAAGGAAAAUCUACAUGAGCAUGGCACCUAAGCAGCUGCUGCGUCAGUUGAUUUUCUAGAUUCCAACCAUGACUCAGCUGCAACCUUUGUAGUUAAGAACCAGCCAACCUUAUCAGGAGCCUCAUGGAAUGGAGAAUUUAGUUCCUUCAAAUAUGACUCGAACACAUUGGCUAAACCUUUCUCAGAAUACUUGUGUUUCCCAUGCCCAGUAUUGAUUCCAAGCAAUGGUGGAAGCUGCUCCCCUGCCUCCAGUACCUUGGACAAGUCAUUCAUCCAAAUAUGUAAUGCUGUCAUAGCUGCCCCGGGGGAGAGACUCUUUAGAUUUAGGGACCACUGGGUUGAAGUUCUGGACAUUAUAUUGGUGUAAAUUUCAAGUGUCAAUCCAAGGUCAAGCAACUCGCAAGCUCUCUCCAACAUAUUGAGCUUGAUACAGAGGUCAAUUAAGCAAUUGCAGUAAGCUUUCUUUACUUCAGUGCUAAUACUAUCAAACAGGUCAGUAGCUUCGUUCUUAAAAUUCCCCUCACUGUCUUGCUCCUCUACCAAAAGUUUAACCACAUAACCAAGCUUCGGAUUAGCCCUCUCAGCACAUUUAACAAGCUUGCUGAGCUCUUCAUUUGGUGUUUGAGUCAUCACAUUCAGAAGACAGCCACAGAACCGAUCAUCUGGAGUUAUAACCAAUUCAAAAAUUCGGUUAAAUGUAUUCACAACAUCAUCAAUGCGUUGGGCUUUUCCAUAGCACUGGAUAAGUGAUGUCAAGAUAAAAAUAUUUGGCUGAAAGCCUGCUUCGAACAUCUCAUUCAACGUAUUCUCUGCCUCAGAAACUUUCCCACAGCAUGAGAAAAUGGUAAUCAUGGAUGAGAAAGUCCAACUAUCAGGCUUGAUUCCAGAACUCUUCAUGUCCUCAAAAAUCUCAACAGCUUUAUCCACGUGGCCAAGAUCAGCACACAUAGCCAAUAUGGAAUUAUAAAGAACUACAUUCAAUCCCAACCCCUUUUCCUUCAUUUCCCUAUAAAUUUUAAACGCAUCUUCUCCAUAACGAGCUCUACCAUACGCAUGCAGAAGAGCUGCAUAUGUCACAAAACUUGGUGACAACCCAUUGUCAAUUAUAUCCUGAUAGAAUUUCUUCACCUGCCAAGGCCUCUUGGCUCUUCCCAUGGCAUCUAACAAAAUGUUGUAUAUGACCAAAUUUGGCUUAACACCUAAAGCCUUCAUUUCUUCAUAAACAUUCAAACACCCAUCAAAAUUCCCAGCAACCUUAUAAAUCCUAAUCAAUGUAGAGAACGCCGUUGCAUCUAGCCGCCACUCCCCCGUUCUAGCACGGUCAUAUAAGCUCAAUGCCUUUUCAACAUUACCAGCCCGCCCAUACGAAUCAAUCAUAGUCGACAAGGUAACAUCGUCAGGUUCAAGCCCAAAACUCGGCAUUUUCUCAAACCACUCAACUGCCUUAUCAGCUAAAUUACACAACCUAGCACAACUAAUUAUUGUCGAAAACGUAAAAUUAUCAGGCUUAACACCUCUCUCAAGCAUCUCAUCAAACAACUUCUCCGCCUUAUCCAAAUCUCUUCCUUUCCUAAAAACUUUCAAAGUCACAUUGUAAACAACAACCUCUCUAUUAAACUUCAACCUCUCUUGAAAAAACUUAAGAGCCAACAAAGCAGUGUCCGGAUUCGACAUGUUAUUAAGAAUAACAACAGCAUCUUGCUCUAACAAUUUACCAUCAAAUUUACUCAAAACAUUAAAGACAUCAUCUUUAUUUGGGCUACAAGAAUUCAGAUACUUAGCUGCAUUAACAAGUGAAGUAUACUUAGCAUCGUAGGAGCUUUUUCUGAGAAUUGAAGCUCUAGAGCUUUUGGGGUUGACCCAGAUGUAAGAUUUUGAAGAAGACCCAGUUUUUUCCUUAAAGUUUGAAUCUUUUGAGGUUUCUUGUCGUGGUAGUUCUUCGUCUUGCAAUGAGACAUUGGUUAUUUGAAGAGAGGUUGCUCUUGAUUGAGAAGAGAGAGUGUUUAUCUUCGAAGAAUCGUAGAAGUUGUUGUUUAGGUUUCUUGAUUUUGAGUCUCUUGAAGAAGAUGAAGGGGUGUUGCAGAGAGGUUUAUAGAGAGAAGAAGGUGAAGAGCAGAGGUUGUAUGCCAUUUGUGUGUCUGUGUUUUGGUUUUGGAGAGGGAAAGAAGGGGGACCUUAUCAACUUGACUAGCAGCACGAAUGAUAUUUUAGGGGUGGCAGCAACCUUCUCUAUCUACCUUCUCUCUUGUUUUAACAAAUUUAUCGCAGUGUUGUAACCACAGUGGUUAGUGGAUGUUUGGCAUAACUGUAGGUUAUUAUUUGAAAAAAUAGAAUAAAAAAAAACUUUGAAUUAUAGAUUUUUUGUAAUUAGAAUUUUAAGAAAGAGUUUUGAGUGAGAUUUAUAUAAAAUUAUAGUAUAUAUUAAUUAACUAAAUAUUUUUAAAAUUAUAAUUGAGCAAACCCAAUUUUUAUCACAUAACAUCACAUCAAACCACACUGCCAAAUAGAUUAAAUCAAGGCAGUCAAUCUAGUAAUAAAUCUGGAAUUUCGAGGUUGCAGUCAAUCUAGUAAUAAAUCUGGAAUUUCGAGGUUGUUUCCAAGUGAAUUUUUAAAUAAACUAAUUAUAUAUUAACUUAAUGAAACUUGAUACUAAUUUUCAUCUUCGAGGAGCACCUUUGGUGCAUUUGAAAUUAAUAGGAUCGAGGAUAUCUAUCAUUGCGAUUCGAUCUCCAUUCCAAUACUAUGCAUGAUCAUCACAUUGCUCAUAUUCAUGCAUCUGGUGCGUUGCCUCCAUCUGGUGCGCAGGUUUUCAUAGCUUCUUGUAAUAUGCAAAGUCCCAUCUCAAAAACAUGCCUCUUCUUUAAUUUGUGUAGUUAGCAAACACACACACACACACACACACACACACAGAUAUAUAUAUAUAUAUAUAUAUAUAUAUAUAUAUAUAUAUAUAUAUAUAUAUAUUCUUACAUCGACUCUCCUUAGAUUGCACGUACUCGGAUAUUUUCAUAGUAUUUUGUAAUCUUUUCUGCAUGCUUUGUCCAUCGACUAAUUAUAUACAUCGAGAUGGAAUUUGAAAAAUGCCUAAGCUAUGGAGCACAGGCACACACUACAUGUCUACAGAUGAUCCCCUUGUACUGAGAAGAACGACAUAGACAACUCGGCUCCUCGUCUUUCUCGUCCCAAACAACCACAAAGUCUUCUUUCAAAGUAAAAUCUUGAACCUUAAAUAUCUAUCGAGAUUGUGCCUUCACCUUUUACUUUCAAGGAAUAACAUCAAGAACUUCAGCUUGGAACUUCUUGAAGAUCUCGAAAGUAAGUAUUGAUUGUUGACGAUUGUUUUUCAAAUGGCGAUGGAGACAUCAAAGAUGGUUUCCCUACUCCAUGUGUUAAAAUCGGCAAGAGCUUCUUCUUUUUCUCUAUCCAUUACUUAAGCUUCCUUGUGCGCUUCUCUGCAAACUCUUUCAUUGUAGUUUUCUUCUUCACGUACUUCUCAAAAAAAAUAUUUUAUGCUUGCCAUCGUCACACAAGGACUGAAUCCAGGCAUUAUCAAUGGGAUCAUAACCUUUCACCAUUUUCCAUCAACAAUCCUCAAUUUUAGUUGGUUAGUUUUUUUAAUCAAACCGAAAAUACUCCCCCUUUUACUAUUGAUUUUAAUUGGUUUAAACCAUCUCUCCAUCUCCAGGAUCGAUGACUAAAUAUCUUAAUUGAACACAUUAAAAAAUAAAUUAAAAAAUCAAGCUUGUUAUACAGUAUAAUUUUGCUCUUAAUUUUUACAUCUUAUCUAAUUUUUAUAUUUUAAAAAAUAAUUGAUUAACUUGUCAAAUUCAUAGCCCGAAUUAUAAACUCAAAUAAAUUUAGUAAAUUUUAUUUUUUUGUAAGCUAUGAUUUAUUUAUUUAACAUCGAUCUAUUUUUUCUAGCAAAACAAAUAUUAAAAACACCUUAAUAUAACUCAUCUCAUCAUUGAAACCCAAUGUCAUUAAAAUUGACCUUUUUGUUGUUAGAAUGUGGUUUAUCGAGAACUUUUACUCUUUUUCAUUAUUUUCUAGCAACCUUUUCUUUCUUUUUAAACUUAGAAAUUGAAAAGAAAAAAAAAUAAAGUUUUGAAUCAAAAUAUAAAAAUUUCAAACCAAAAGAACUAAAAUAAAAGUGAAAUAAUUAUGAAGGAAAAAUAAUUCCAAAAAGGCUACUGAUGAACAACAACUAAAAAAUUCCUUUCUUUUUGCCUCACUAAUUUCCUCAAGAUUUUAAUUUUUUUCAAGCAAUAAAAUUGAUAUUUUUUAAAAAAAUAAGCACUAACCCAAUGUAAGCUUUUUCUUAUUUAUUUAUUAUUUAUUGAGACAGCAUGCUUCCUUUCUUUUUGGAAGAUUUUUUUUCUUAGAUACUUCAAUUUUGUAAAAUCUGAAAAUAAAGAAGACAGCAAACUAAUUUUUUACCCAAAAUACUUUGAAAAUAUCUUAGACAUCUUAAUAAACUUAUUUAUGUCUUCAAAAAACUAUCCUAAAACUCGAGAUCAACCCGGAACAAAAAAUUUUCUGGAACUCAUUUUUGUUUUUUAAGCAAUUUUAAAGUAAAAAACACCUAAGUUGAAAUUUCCUCAUCAAAUAGAACCAUUUGACACCAGAAUCAACCAUUUUAGUAAUCAAAAUCAAUAUCAACAAUAAUUUUCUCUCUAUCAUUGGAAUUCGACAACUUUCUCUUUCCUCUCUCAAACCAAGCAUUAAAAAAUAAAUUAACCAUAAUUUUUUUGAAACUUUAAAAAUUAGAGGGACCCAAUUGUUAUAAUUCAUAAAGAAUGAGGACUAAGUUGUACAUUUUGCAAAAAAAAAUUAAAACACCACUCAUCUCCUCUGCAUGUUUCAUUUUAGUCCUCUUUCCUUCAAUUGCACCCUUCCUUGACAAUUGUAGCUAAAUUAGGUCCUUAAAAGGCAAAAUAAAAAAAAUAUUCAUAGGCAUGGUAAAUCCAUAAUGCAAAUGAGUAUGAGUUUACAGUGCAUGAAAGAACAAUAAUCCCAGACCUUUUAGUGUUUUAGGGGUGUUUGAGUGUGGUUGCGGUUGCGGUUGCGGUUGUUUUUCAAACUGUUUUUCAUUGAAAAAUACAUCAAAAUAAUAGUUUUUUUAUUUUUUAAAAAUUAUUUUUUGACAUCAUCUCAACAAAAUGAUCUGAAAACACCAAAAAAAUAUUAAUUUGAAGCAAAGAAAAAAAUAAAUAAAAUUUAAUUUUUUUAAAAACAAUGAGGAGGAGGAGGUGGUGAUAGAGAAUUUGGCAGACCCCUCAAAAUAUUUUGAUAAAAAUACAACUUGGUCCCUGUAUUUUUUAUUUUUUAUUUUUGGAUUUUAGUAAGUAAAAACCCUAGAAGUGCAUAGCUUUCUUUCUUUCUUGGACCCGAUUGCAAAUAGGUAUAACAUCAUUGCUGAACAAAUGUUGAUAGCCUACACUAACCAAAAUUAUUAUUUUUUAAUCAUAUAGUUUAUAUUGUUUUCGCUUUGAAUCUUACCAUGAUUUAUAAACCAUCUUUCUCGAUCAUUUAAAUUGUCUCAAUUAUAAUUUUUUCCCCAAUUUUCAACUAUGAAAAAAAGAAUAAUACGAUUAAAUUGCAACAUUUUGAUUUUGUGUUUAUAAUAAGAUUCAAAUUGGAGUUUUUAGGAUCAAAGUAUGGUAAUAGAACAAAUUAAAUAAAGAUACGACUAUUAUUAUUAUUCCGUGAAGAUACUUUUUUUUUUUUUUGGAAACAAGAUAAAAACCAUGUUACAUACAAAAAAGAGAGAAAUUAUUCUCUUGUUGUAAUAACAUGAGAUGCUUUUAAUUGUCCAAAAAUGAGACUGGGCUGCUUUUCAAUCAUAUGGGCUUAGUUUUCAUGUUGCUUUUCUGCAGUUUCUAGGCUUUGUGCUUUAUGUAUCUCAUGGUUUCGGCCCAUUUUCACUUACCAAGUUUUAAAGUUUUAUUUUUCCAGAUUAAAAAAAAAAAAAAAAAAAAGCUCUGGCGUGUUUUUGUUAGAUAAAUCGUUGAAAAUAAGUCUUCCAAUCUUUUAUUUUUUUUAUUAUUAGGUUUUAAUAUUUUAGUUUUUAAUAACAAAUGAAACUUAUAUUAUUUUAACCUCAAAAUAGAAUACGUAUGGCAAUGAAUUUAUACCUUAAUCGGCGUUUAAUUUCACAUGAACCUCUCAUAAUAAUAUCUUUGAUUUUUCUAUACAGUCUUCUCCUUAGCUAUGAACAAAUUGUUUUAAUGCCAUAAAAAAAGUUUAUUUAUUUUAUAUUCUUACGAGCAUUUUAGUCUUGACGUUGACCUCAGUUCGUUUUAGAUCCCAUCAUAGAUAUUAUAAUAAUUUGUAUUUGUCCUCUAGCUAUGGAAAGUAGCGUUUGGUCCAUGGAACCUGCAUACUGUUUUUAUGUCGAUUUUGGACUCUGUUGAAACCGUAAAUAGUGCACAAGAAUCCUCGUAUGCGAGGUUAAGUUUAUGUUUGAUAAUGAGAUAAAUGGUUUUUUUAAAAAAAUAUUUUUAAAUUAAAAAUAUAUUAAAAUAAUUUUUUUAUUUUAUUUUUUGUAUUAACAAACAUAUUAAGAUUAUUAAAAAGUAUUUAUAAAAUCAUUAAAUAAAAAACAAUUUAAAAUACACUUUGAAAAGCUGAUUAAACUAUGUUAUCGAAUUAAUAAAACAUAAAUAUACUAUUGUUUUUUUGUACGAUUUAAAAAAAUCUAUAAAUUAAACCUUUUUAAAUUCAAGUUUUUACUAUUAUUUAAGAUGAAAAGCAAAUUUAAGCACUGAAAAAUUAAAUAACUUUUAAAAUUAUAAAAAGUUCUAAAACAUUAUCAAAAGAAAUCUAAAGCUAAAGAAAUUUUUCUUUUAAAAAAGAUGUCGGUUUACUUAAAGAGGGAAAAGGUGGUAGCUUGCUUCGUAGCAAUGAAAAGAAGAGAGUGAAGCAAUCGAUGUGGGAAAAGAUUAGUACUGCUGCUUCCUUCAACUCAAAGUAUUGGUGAGUUCAAGGACGAGAUGAUUUAUUGGAGAUCCAAAAGGCUUGACGCAGAAAGAGGUAACUUUUUAAUGAUUUUAUGGACCGAUCAUCACUUAUUUAAUUUUCUGAUCAUCACUUUAAAUAAAAUAAUUUCUCUCAAUAUAUAAUCAAUGUUCUGUGAAGCCCUAAUUGGCAAACAAAAUGUAUAAAGUUUUUCUUUUUUGUUGAAAAUAAUUAAAAACCAUGACCAUAUGGCAUAAGCCAUGCAUGAGGCUCCUCCACAAAACCAUGCUCUUCAAGAUUGGUCAAUAUUUGUGUUCCCAAUGGCUCUAGUCACAGCUCAUGGCCAGGUCUGCCGACAACGGUUUUGGCUACAAAUUCUUAUAAGCUGUAUUCAAAGGAUCUCAAUGGCCGGCAUUCUUAAGAUCCAUGCAUGCACUACGUACGUCUCUAAAAAAUCAUAGUUUUUUAUUAGCUAAUGUUUUUAAGAAGGGUUUUUUUAGUGAUACCAAUAUAAAAGUAUAGUACGUAUCGAUUAUUCAAAUAUUUUUAAAUAAAUGAUUGAGAUGUAUUCUUUUGCGCAAAUCUUUUCAGAUCCCACCAUAUAUGAUUAUUAUAAUAAUUUGUGUUUGUCAUCUGGCCAUUGAAAGAUUAUUUGAGCCAUGAAAGAUACAAACAACUAUGUUGAGAUUCCAUGCUUAUGUAAGGCUUAACCAAGACGAUAAGUAGGUGGUUGGCAUGGUAGCUAGGGUUUCCAAAAGUUGAAAGCACAAAAUAAAGCCAUUUAGGUAUGGGCGAAGCUUCCUUCCACUCGAAGCUACUGGUAGGCAAGUUCAUGAGAUGGGCCUUCAUCCCUUUAAAUUUCUAUUUAUUUUAUCAUUUCAUUCUAUUUCAAUGAUGACUGCCACCUACCAUAUAAUAUGUUUUAAGAGUAUUUUUUUUAAUUAAAAAUAUAUUAAAAAAAUAAUAUCAGCAUAUUAAAACUAUAAAAAAAACAUUUAAAAACAUUAAUCUAAUGUUUUUUUCAAAUUAAAAAAUACUUUAAAAAGAAAAAAGACGUGUGAAAUUCACUUUAAUGUACUGUAAAAUGAUCAAACAUCUUACUUUUUUUUACAUAUAAAGCUAGCAUGAGUAGAUAUUCAAGUAAAAUAAAGUAGAUGAGAGUGCCAUAAAAAAAAUAAAAAAAAAUUAAGUCAAAAUUAGCAUCAUUCAUAAAGUUUGGUGGCUCCAAUGGGUUACAAAGCUCAAUUUCUGUGUCGAGACUGGUUAGUAAAGCAAAAAAAUACCUUUGUUUUUUUUUUUGGGUGAAAUAAGAAAAGGGCAUCCUUUGUCACGUCAAUCUCCCUUUAUUAGUUAGAAAAGUACAUUUUUCUGAUAGUAAAAACCACGUUAAAAUUUCUUUUUCUUUUUACGCCACUUAUUUUUGUAAAAGUGCUUUUGCAUUUGUCAUGUUUUUUUAUAUCUAAAUCUUUAAAUUAAAAAAUAAUUUGGUAUUAUUUUAAUUUAUAUUAAAAAUGAUAAUAACUUGAUAAAUUUAAAUGAAUCAUUAAAUUUAAUGACAUAACUAUAAUAAUAAUGUAUAUAAUGAUAGUUGAUCUAAAACCUGAUUCAAUUCAAGUUUUAUUUUUAAUUAGAGUGAAUGUUGAAUUGAUUAUUGAGACUCAGGUUGGUUAAUUACUUAGAUUUUUUAAAAUUUUUAUUUUAAAAAAUAUUAUUUAAGAUUUUUUACCCAAAAUAAUAUUAUUUUAUAAUAUAUAUGAAUUGACUCACUGGGCUGUGAAUUGAUAUAACAAACUUGCAUUUCAGAUUCUAAAUCAGAUCUGAGCACAAAACACUUAUUUAAAACGUGAGAGAAUAGGAAUCCCAUAUUUUUCAUUGUGAAUUACACAAGAAUUUCACUCUUUUAAUCAUUAAUAUUAGUGUUUAGAGAGCAACUAAUAUAAAUUUCGUAGUCGACAACUUUACAUAAUCUCAUAUAUCAACAAAUCACGAGAAGGAAGGGAACUGCUCAAUUCAAUGAUUCUGUGAUAUUCAUGGGAGAAUUCUUAUCGCCAAGUACAAUGGUGGGAUCAUGACAGUCCACAUUCCAUUAUCUAGAUGGAUCGUGCAUGACCUAAAUUUCUGACAGCGAAGCGUCAUAAUGUUUACAAACAGAAGCCAUCGAUCAGUUACUGUCAGAAAUUAAAGAAAGCAAAUAGAAAAUGAAGGCAAAGGAGAUGCUGAGAUGCACUAUCACUAUAUAUACAAAUAGCAAUGAUUAUGGAAGCUUUAAAAUCCCUUAUAUUAAUUUAUUAAAAAUCUUAACAUCUCUUGUAAUAAAAGAUUGUUCCCACAUGAUCACCAACCUUAUUCUAUCACAUAAAAUCUUUAUAACGAAGGAAGAAGACCCAAUAUGCAGCCAAAACUGACCCCAACAUUUCAACAUAGACAACUAGCUAGCUAGACAAGGUUAUGACAUGAGCAUAAGUAAUGCAAUUGUUUAAUUUGAUCAGAUCGACACCAUACUACUGACCAAAUGCUUAAAGCAAUAUCGACAUUCUAGAUGCUUUCACAUGAUUGUGCAUGACGAGGGAUUAUCUUCACAGACAUAUUCACAUCUGCACACAUAGUAACCGCUUCUUUGGCAACCACAGCCGCCGCCGCUGCCAGCCCAACUAUCAUACACUGGCCUUCCAUAAGCUUCAUAACAUGGGGGUGCUGGCCUAGCAUUGUCAUGAUAACACGGGCCUCCACUAAUCCCAUGGUAGCAUUCAGCACAACAUGUCCUUGGGUGGACUGGUUCCGGAGCUUUAGGUGGUGGUGGUCGUGUCGGGUUUGGAGCUGGGAUUGGGGCGGGUGCUGGCCUCCUAUAGUCAUGAUAACACGGGCCUCCACUAAUCCCAUGGUAGCAUUCAUCACAACAUGUCCUUGGGUGGACUGGUUCCGGAGCUUUAGGUGGUGGUGCCGGGUUUGGAGCUGGGAUUAGGAAGGGUGCUGGCCUCCUAUGGUCAUGAUAACAUGGGCCUCCACUAAUCCCAUGGUAGCAUUCAGCACAACAUGUCCUUCGGUGGACUGGUGCCGGUUUCUCUGGUUCUUUGGGUUUCUCUGGUUCUUUGGGUUUCUCCGGUUCUUUGGGUUUCUCUGGUUCUUUGGGCUUCUCCGGUUCUUUGGGAUUCUCCGGUUGCUUAGGCUUUUCAGGUUCUUUCGGCUUCUCCGGUUCUUUAGGUUUAGAUGGUGGUGCUUUGGGUUUCUCUGGAACCUUGAUCUCAAUGCUCUGGACAGCUUCACCUCCUUUACAGAUUAUCUUUUCCUUGAUCUUUUCAGGACUGCAACAUACCACAGUGAUGGUCACUGUGCCUGCCUUCUUGUCAUAUAUCUGGUUCUGAAUUUCUCUUGUUCACAAUCCACAAAAACAACUUAGCCACUUUCCUUUCAUCUUAAAACUGCUCAAACUAAGUUAUUAUACAUGGAGAAGGAGGCACUCACGAGGGAUUCUACACAGUACUUUCUUGAUUUUCUUGUGGCAUUUCUUACAUUCAAGGUCAACCUUGAUCACCAUUAUUGUGACUUUCUGCAAUACGAGCACAUAAAAACAAGGACAUUCUAAGCCAAGAAGAAUAUUGAAAGGACUGGAACACUUUCUGACAUGGAAGGAUAUUGAUCAGUAAAGAUAAUGAACAAGAAGAUGAGGUCCAUAGGGCCAAAAACAAGGACCACAACACAUAAAAAGAAGAAAAACCCAGAUGAAUGGACUAAAUAAAAGAUAAAUCUAAACCAAUAAAAGAAGAAGAAGGAAAAUGUAUCAAAAUCUCCACAUCCAUCCAUGCACAUACCUUUUCAGCCAUGGUUUUGUCGAAGCUUUGAUCUGGACCUGAUGAGAUGAUAGAAUUGAGAGCAGAGUGAAGGAACAGACCAGAGGGUGAGAGGGAGAUAUAGAGGCUUCUAAAAUUAAGAUUGAUCACAACUUAAGUAGUAGAAGUGUGAGACCAAAGUUUAAAUACCGUGCAUCUAGAGGCCAAUAAGAAGAGAACACAUGGGAUUGGGUGUUGAGCUUGACGUCAUAUUGUCGUUUUCUUUUUUAUUGCUGACCCUCCAAACCUGCGUAUGCAAGCGCUGGCUUUGAUGGACACAUCUCACCUUCAAUUUUGUUAAUCAUUUCGAAGGCUGUUGUGCAUCCUACGGUGCAUUAGUUCAGUCAUGUCAAUAAAUGAGCCAUGCAAACCCCAUGACAACCGUACACGUGUCCCAAAAAAAUUCACCAUAAAAAAUUAAAAAUCUUCAAUUAAUAUUUCCAUAUCUCAUGUUAAAAGAAUUUAGCCGGUGUUUGAUUGUUGUUUCCUGAUAAAAACAUAGAAAACUUGAAUUAUAAAUUUAUUUUAAAAUUAUUACAAAAAACAAUUUUAUUUUAUAUUCUUAUUUUUAUCCUCCGUUCUACACUAACAACACAUAAUUUGAAGAGGUAUUAUAAUUCUAAUUAACGAGCUCCUCUGUUUCAAAAUUUGGAUUUAUAAAGUAACAUAAGAACACAUAUCUCUUUAACAACUUGUCCAAAUUGGAUUAAUUUUUUAUGAUACAUGUAAGGUAAUUAGUUGUAUUUUUUAAUAAAAAGAUAAUUAGAACAAAAAUAAUUAAUAAGUUGUGAUAUUUGUAUUACUCUCUCUUGUAUUUAUAUUUUUUCUAAAAGUACAUCUUAUAAAAUAAUUAAUAAAUUAUUACUAAUUCCCAUCAUCACCAUGGAAUACUUCAUAUAAUCUAAACGACAAAAAUCUGUAUAAUUAUAUAUAUAAUGAUAUGAAAACCAGAAAUUAGAAACCCAAGUCGUUAAGCAAGUAGCUCACCGUUUUAUCUCAUCACUUUAACCAUAAAGGUGCUAGGACAUAAAGAAGAAAGUUAACAAAUUGUGGGCCCAGAAGUUGCGUCCAUGAGUGCCGACUUUGAAAGCUGAGGCAGGUUUAACUAAUCGUUUGAAAUUACGGUCAACUGUAUUUUUUAAAAUUUUAAUUUUUUAAUAUAUAUAUAUAUAUUUGAUUGUUUUGAUAUACUGGUACAAGAAUAAAUCUUGAAAAAUAAAAAUUAUAUGUUUUAUUUUAAUAUAUUUUCAAUAAUGUUAGUGUUUAGAGAGCAACUAAUAUAAAUUUCGUAGUCGGCAACUUUACAUAAUCUCAUAUCAACAAAUCAGGAGAAGGAAGGGAACUGCUCAUUCAUGGUAGAAUUCUUAUCGCCAAGUACGAUGAUGGGAUCAUGACAGUCCACAUUCCAUUAUCUAGAUGGAUCAUGCAUGACCUAAAUUUCUGACAGCGAAGCUUGAUAACGUUUACAAAACAAAAACCAUCGAUCAGUUACUGUCAGAAAUUAAAGAAAGCAAAUGGAAAGUGAAUGGAAGGGAGAUGCUGAGAUGCACCAUCACUGUAUAUACAAAUAGCAAUGAUUAUGGAAGCUUUAAAAUCUCCCUUAUAUUAAUUUAUUAAAAAUCUUAACAUCUCUUGUAAUAAAAUAUUGUGCCCACAUCACCAACCUUAUUGUAUCACAUAAAAUCUCUAAAACGAAGGAAGAAGACCCAAUAUGCAGCCAAAACUGACUAGCUAGACAAGGUUAUGACAUGAGCAUGAGCAAUGCUAUUGUUUAAUUUGAUCAUAUCGACACGAUACUACUGUCCAAAUCCAGUGAUUUUUGGUGGAAAUCGGCUUAAGGCAAUAUCGACAUUCUAGAUGCUUUCACAUGAUUGUGCAUGACGAGGGAUUAUCUUCACAGACAUAUUCACAUCUGCACACAUAGUAACCGCUUCUUUGGCAACCACAGCCGCCGCCGCCGCCGCCACCCCAAUUAUCAUACACUGGCCUUCCAUAAGCUUCAUAACUCGGGGGUGCUGGCCUACCAUAGUCAUGAUAACAUGGGCCUCCACUAAUCCCAUGGUAGCAUUCAGCACAACAUGUCCUUGGGGGGACUGGUUCCGGAGCUUUAGGUGGUGGUGGUGCCGGGUUUGGAGCUGGGUUUGGGGCCGGUUCUUUGGGUUUUGGUGUUUCAACAAUAAGCGCUUUAGGCUUCUCCGGUUCUUUGGGUUUCUCCGGUUCUUUGGGCUUCUCCGGUUCUUUGGGUUUCUCCGGUUCUUUGGGCUUCUCCGGUUCUUUGGGUUUCUCCGGUUCUUUGGGCUUCUCUGGUUCUUUGGGUUUCUCCGGUUCUUUGGGCUUCUCUGGUUGCUUAGGCUUCUCAGGUUCUUUCGGCUUCUCCGGUUCUUUGGGUUUCUCUGGUGCUGCUUUGGGAUUCUCUGGUGCUUUGGGUUUCUCUGGAACCUUGAUCUCAAUGCUCUUGACAGCUUCACCUCCUUUACAGACUAUCUUUUCCUUGAUCUUUUCAGGACUGCAACAUACCACAGUGAUGGUCACUGUGCCUGCCUUCUUGUCAUAUAUCUGGUUCUGAAUUUCUCUUGUUCACAAUCCACAAAAAUUAACCACUUAGCCACUUUCAUUUCAUCUUGAAACAGCUCAAACUAAGUUAUAAUAC
rnacentral:lncRNA from 1 species